AUCUCACAGUUAUCAGCAGAACAUAGAUGGCAAUAGAUUCACACGAGGACAGAAAAUUCACAGAACUAGCAUUAUUGUUCCUUCUGUCUUUACACAGGCAUAUUUAUUUGGCUAUUUUAUGAGACCUUC
ensembl:snoRNA SNORA75 Small nucleolar RNA SNORA75